rnacentral:lncRNA from 1 species
UUUUUUUUUGUGUCUCAAAUGUGACAUUUAAAAACAACAUUGUUAAUGGUUUUAACUCAUUUUUAAAGUUGUCGUUUUUACAGCUCUUGAAGACCAAACUGCAAACACAUUACCAGAGAUGGUUUUGUGUUUUCCUAGACUUUUUUUUUAAUUUGUCAAUUCAGAACUUGUAGCCAACAGCUUUAUCUGAACUUUAAGUCAAAAUGUGUACUUAAGAAAUUCUAACUACUCUUUUUACCUUCAGUGUGAACUGUUGUGCUAAUCAUUUUUAAAAGGCAAACAUGAUUGAAUAACUAUC